CCUACGGGCGGCUGCAGUGAGGAAUAUUGGUCAAUGGACGCAAGUCUGAACCAGCCAUGCCGCGUGCAGGAAGACGGCGCUAUGAGUUGUAAACUGCUUUUGUAAGAGGGUAAAGUCAGAUACGUGUGUCUGUCUGAAAGUACCGUACGAAUAAGGAUCGGCUAACUCCGUUCCAGCAGCCGCGGUAAUACGGAGGAUUCGAGCGUUAUCAGGAUUUAUUGGGUUUAAAGGGUGCGCAGGCGGAAGCGGAAAGUAAGCGGUAAAAUUGCGGGUCUCAACGUCGCCGAGCCGUUGAUACUGGUAUUCUAGAGUGCGCGAGAAGUAGGCGGAAUGCGUGGUGUAGCGGUGAAAUGCAUAGAUAUCACGAAGAACUCCGAUUGCGAAGGCAGCAUACCGGCGCCCAACUGACGCUCAUGCACGAAAGCGUGGGUAUCGAACAGGAUUAGAUACCCGUGUAGUC
rnacentral:rRNA from 1 species